rnacentral:pre_miRNA from 1 species
AAAGUACUCCCUCCGUUCGGAAUUAGUUGUCGUAGAAAUGGAUGUAUCUAGAUGUAUUUUAGUUCUAGAUACAUCCAUUUCUGAGACAAGUAAUUCCGAACGGAGGGAGUACCAA